UUAAUUAAUUUAAAUUAAUUAAAAUUUUACUCAUAGCAGGAAUAUAUGCCUGGAUAAAUCUCGGUUAGAUUUCAAUAAUUAGAAAUCUUAGUUAACUAAAGAAUAUAUGGUUAUAAACAUUCCAUUCUGCAGGUGGAAUCAAGAUAAUUAUAUAAUAUGUUAGCAUACCGCUGUUUUUAUCCAGAUGUAUUGAUUUGCUCUGAAAUAAGAUAGUGUAUCUAUUUAGGAGAGUUAAAA